UACGAAGGGGGCUAGCGUUGCUCGGAAUGACUGGGCGUAAAGGGCGCGUAGGCGGCUAUCAUAGUCAGGCGUGAAAUUCCUGGGCUCAACCUGGGGGCUGCGCUUGAUACGUGAUGGCUUGAGUGGGGAAGAGGGUCGUGGAAUUCCCAGUGUAGAGGUGAAAUUCGUAGAUAUUCGCAAGAACACCAGUGGCGAAGGCGGCUCACUGGCCCGAUACUGACGCUGAGGCACGAAAGCGUGGGGAGCAAGCAGG
rnacentral:rRNA from 1 species